CUAGCUGCAAACCGAAGGUGGGGAUUAAAGUUAUAUUAUGGAGGAUCUUGAAUGUCAGGCUAAGGAAUGUGUACUAAUUAUCCUGUGGUUUCUCUCACAGAAACCAAUGGCUGCAUUAAAUGAGUCUAUAGAAGAUUUUUCAUCUCUGGACAUGUCUAAUUGCAGAGCUCUAAUUGGAGGAACGUGUGGCAGUAUCUGAAAGGAGAAAAUAGGUUACCUGGAUGAAUCCUAAAUACCGGCACAAGGACCCUUUUAAGAGAGAGACAGAGGGAGAUUACACACAUGGAAGAGGAGGAGGCACUGUGAUCACAGAUAAAGUGAGGUGUGGAUGUGAAGAACUCAGGGCCAUGUCCAGCAUGGGCAACAGCAAUAGUAGCACUUAUGCAAUGGAAAGAUGAUCCACAGCCCAG
rnacentral:lncRNA from 10 species